GAGACUCUGUCUCAAAAAAAAAAAAAAAAAAAAAAAAAAAAAAAAGAAAAGAAAAUUGAAAGGGAGGAACAAUCCUCCACUCACUGUAUGAGCUUGGCAUAACCUCAAUACCAAAUCCUGCAAGGACACCUAGAGAAACAUUGCAGGUCAAUCACAUGCUCGUGACAUAGAAGUAAAAAUUGGAAGCAGAAUCUUAGCACACGGAAGCCUACAGGAUAUAAAAAGGAAAAUACCUAAUAUGGCAUGACUAAUAUUGGCUUCAUCCCAGAAAUACGAACUUAAUUUCUCUUCAGAAAAUACAGUGGUAUAAUUCCCCACAUUAACAGAUUCGGGGAGACAAACAUGCUCUUCGUAGUCACAAAAGGUAUUGACUAAAUGUCAAUUUCCAUUUGAGAUGUAUUGCUGACAAUUUUUUUUUUCUAAAAAGUCAGGACUAUUGGGCUAUAACUUACACAGAGGUCUGUGAGAUCUCGUAAAUGCGUAUGGCUGUAAAAACACCAGCACAAUAUAUAUAGAUAUAGAGCAUCGCCAUCCCCCGCCCCCCUCCCCCGCCAGGUUCCCUUACGUCCUCUUGUACUGAACUCCUCGUCUUAACCCUCAGACCCUGGCAACCAUCAAUCUGUUUUGUGUUCCUAGAGUUUUGCCUUUUCCAGAAUGUCAUAUAAAUGGAAUCACACGGUACGUAGCAUGUGCAUUUGGCUUCCUUCAGAGAAAGACACUCGGACUGCGAUUCUCUAAAGGUGCAAUGUACAGUUUCAUGACCUGGGUAGUAGUUACCUGGCUUGAUCACCUUACAACUGUUUGUCAGAUGGCGGGCUUCUGAGUUCUCUCCGUGUGUGUGUGUGUGCGUGUGUGUGUGUGUGUAUCAUGUUUCAAACAUAUAAUUUUACAUUUAACUGCCUCUAACUUUUAUAUGUUGGUGAGGGUUAUUAAAUGACAAUUAUUAAUACUUAAAGGGAAGUGAGUGAUUAUUGUAAAAGCCAGCAGAGUCAUUUCCUCUGGGGUGUGCAAAGCGGGAGGUAGUGAUCAGGAUGGGGCAAACAGGAGGGUUCCAAAACCCUGCCAACCUUCUGUUCCUCGCUCUGCAUGGUAGUGACCUGGACUUCAACAUUGCACAACCACAUGGGCGCCGUUCACGCUGGAUCACGAGAACAGAGCACCCUGGAAUCCCACAGAUAGAUGUGGCCACCCUGGCGGCCACAGCCUACGCGGCCGUACCUGGC
rnacentral:lncRNA from 1 species